rnacentral:lncRNA from 1 species
CUGGGGUGGGCCCGCCCCCCCGGGGGGCCGGCUGUCUAUGUGGGAGUCGCUGCCGGGACACUUGACCGGCGCCUUUCGGAGCGUGGGAGGGACAUGGUGCUGGGCGGGACAUCGACGGCGUUGGCAGCAGCGGCCUGUGGAGGAGGCGUGUCGGUCGAUUGGAGGGCGGCAGGGGUGGUUCGACCCUUGAGGAGGAGGGGGCACGCUGUUUUGGCGGGGGCCAUGGAGAUGUGUGGGGGCGAAUGGGCUGAGGGGCCGCUUAGCAAUCACCCAGCGAGGGGGGUGCCCGACCCAUGGAAGUGCUUAUUGAAUCGUGAGCGCCUUAGGGGACCUUAAUUGGUAAUGAUAUGAGGGACUGUCUUAAUAUAUCUGGAACUGUU